CCCUCAUAAAGUAUCCUUCUACCUCAGGAAUACCCAGCAAUUGCCAGCCCAUCUCCAAAUGGCCCAGACAUCCAAGAGCCAGCAAGAAAAGCUACACAAUAAAAGCUUAUCCUCAAUAAAAGAACUUUUGCAGGAAGGCAACAGCCACUUAAGUGCAACCCUGUACUCAAAUCCUGCAACCCUCCCAGUGCUAGCAGGAGGCCUACUUAACAGCCUGUUCCAAGUUCCUGCUGGUUCCUUCCCAUGAAUCCACCACCGAAUCCCUGGCACUAGGACCCUGCAGACAGGGAACCCUGAGUCUGCGCUCUAAAGAGAGAGAUGCACCAUUUCACAACUUCAGCAAAAACCAAAGCAGCCAACAAAGCCACAGCCACCUGGGCUGUGCCAGACUGCCUUUUGGGCAGCUCCCUGGCCACUCCCCAGAAGCAGAGCAUUCUGUCCUCUCUCUUUUUAAAUCCACGUCAUCAUCUGAUCAUAAUGGAAAUCAAUCUCCUCAAGUCACCACGCAAAGGCGUAUCCAUGGCAACCUCAAGAGGAAGGACACGGAAAUGAUGCGCCAGUGGCUGCAGCAGGAAAAGGAAACCUGUGGCUCGGAAUGGGUUCAGGGUGCUUGGGACGCGCCCAGGAAAGGAGGGUGGCCUUGCAGUUCUGGAGGAACUCGGAGGAGCAAUCACUCUGAUCCCGGGAGAACACCGCCAGGCUGACAACUCAGGUCCAAAGGCGCUCUGAUACCAAGAAACACGCUACUCUUCCCCAAAACCUGCCGGGGUUAAAAACUGCGCGCUGAGCGCGGCCAAGGAGACAGCGAUCAGGCACAAGGCUGGACACCUGGGACGAAAUUUGCGCGUGCGCAGUGUGCCUGGGAAGCGGAUUAGGACCACAGGAGAGAGGCGUGUCGUAGCCAGCGCCGUCUGCCGGCGGGUGCCAGCCUGAGGCUUCCUCUGAUGGGGAAACCUGAACAGGACUGCUAGGACUCCAAAAUUCCAAUUUGCAUGACUGGGGCCCAUUCUCCCAACCUGUGGUGCUGAAUAGAGAUCAUCUGUGCUCAUCUGGGUAGAAUCCUAGGCAUUCCAGAACAUGGGAAGGAAGCAAGAGGGAAACCCUCCCCUUGAGGAAAGGAAUGCUGUUUCCCAGAGGAAGAGGGAGAGGGGUGGUUCUCCAGAGUGCCUCUACUGGCCUGUAGGACACCGGCUCCUUUCCAGUUCAGUGAGAGCACACACUCUUGGAAGAAACUGACAGAUAUCAGGCCAAUUCUUAAGGCAACUGAGGUGUUUAUUUCUGGCAAGCAGACAGAAGCCCCGCGGGCGCCUACGGUAGAUUUCAAGGGGGCGCCCCUCGGAGUCAGCAUCCACAAUCUUAACCGAGGGGCACACCCAGAG